rnacentral:misc_RNA from 1 species
UACGUAGGGGGCAAGCGUUGUCCGGAAUUAUUGGGCGUAAAGGGCACGCAGGCGGUUUCCUAAGUCUGAUGUGAAAGCCCACGGCUUAACCGUGGAGGGUCAUUGGAAACUGGGAAGCUUGAGUGCAGGAGAGGAGAGCGGAAUUCCACGUGUAGCGGUGAAAUGCGUAGAUAUGUGGAGGAACACCAGUGGCGAAGGCGGCUCUCUGGCCUGAUACUGACGCUGAGGUGCGAAAGCGUGGGGAGCGAACAGG